rnacentral:rRNA from 1 species
UACGUAGGGGGCAAGCGUUGUCCGGAUUUAUUGGGCGUAAAGAGCGUGUAGGCGGUUAGGUAGGUCCGUUGUGAAAACUCGAGGCUCAACCUCGAGACGCCGAUGGAAACCAUCUGACUAGAGUCCGGAAGAGGAGAGUGGAAUUCCUGGUGUAGCGGUGAAAUGCGCAGAUAUCAGGAAGAACACCCGUGGCUAAGGCGGCUCUCUAGUACGGUACUGACGCUGAGACGCGAAAGCGUGGGGAGCAAACAGG